UUGGACUGCACUAUUUUAAUUAAUUAGACUUAUUAAGUUUGAUUAAUUAUUUUAAUUUGCAUAAUAAUAUCAUAUUAUUAUUAUGUGCAUAUUUUAAGUUAUUACUUAUUAUAUGCUAAGCAUGACAUGAAAUUGCAUUAUAUUUUGCAAUAAAAGUAUUUAUGAUUUAAUUGGUUUUAUUUAUAAUUCCAAUUAUUAAAGAAAGAUGAGUAAGAAUAUUGUUGGUGUUCUUAACUCAAGAGAAAUGUUUUCAAUUAUUUAUUUAUUAAAUUUUGAAAACCCGGCUAAGUGAAUCAUAGAAUGUUAAGCACUACACCAUGACUUAAGAUUAGAUUUAAGGAGACCUAUUGAGAAUAGAUUUCUUGUAGGCUUUGAGCAUCAGAAUGAUUAGCACUGCUAUUCCGAUUCAGAGAUAAGGUUAAACGACAGGCUUUGCCUAUACAGGUUGGCUGGCCGGUGCUGACGGGACGGAGCUGAGGCUAGCGAUAAAUUCCUAUGUUAGACUUCCGCUGUAGCAAUUACUCAUAUCAGUCUUUUGUUUUCCCAACUUAAGAUCUUCAUGUUAAAUUUCAAAUGAUAUACCUGACCGAGCUUAGACUCUUCACUACUAAAUUUAUGCCAAUGAAUGUCGGUUGUCAGAAGCAUGAAACAAAACUUGUGAUCCAAAGGGGCAUAGCCCGACUUUCUAUCCUAUUUCGGGUUUUAACAAGGUAUUUCCCUUGUUUAUUUCUAUGAAUUAUUUAUACCUCGAUUAUAUUUA